GAUGAACGCUGGCGGCGUGCCUAAUACAUGCAAGUCGAACGCAUUGUGGUUGAAAUGAUAUGAAGAACUUGUUCAGAUUUGAUUUUCAACAUUGCAAUGAGUGGCGAACGGGUGAGUAACACGUGGGAAACCUACCUCUUAGCAGGGGAUAACAUUUGGAAACAAAUGCUAAUACCGUAUAAUAAUUAAAACCGCAUGGUUUUAGUUUAAAAGAUGGUCUUGCUAUCACUAAGAGAUGGUCCCGCGGUGUAUUAGUUAGUUGGUGAGGUAAUGGCUCACCAAGACAAUGAUACAUAGCCGAGUUGAGAGACUGACCGGCCACAAUGGGACUGAGACAGGCCCAUACUCCUACGGGAGGCAGCAGUAGG
rnacentral:rRNA from 1 species